rnacentral:rRNA from 1 species
UACGGAGGGUGCAAGCGUUAUCCGGAAUCAUUGGGUUAAAGGGUCCGCAGGCGGUUCUAUAAGUCAGUGGUGAAAUCUCUCGGCUCAACCGAGAAACUGCCAUUGAUACUGUAGGACUUGAAUUCGGUCGAAGUGGGCGGAAUAUGACAUGUAGCGGUGAAAUGCUUAGAUAUGUCAUAGAACACCGAUAGCGAAGGCAGCUCACUAGGCCUGGAUUGACGCUCAGGGACGAAAGCGUGGGGAGCAAACAGG